AAGUCAUAACAAGGUUUCUGUAGGUGAACCUGCAGAAGGAUCAUUAGUGAAUACACCGGGGAACCCACUCUGUGGGCCCCAACCCUUCACCAUAUCCUCACACCUGUGCACCGCUGGUAGAUGCCGCUGUACUUCGGUACGGUUUGCAGCUGCUGGCAGCCUAUAAAACUUGUACAACUUUCAGCAACGGAUCUCUUGGCUCUC
rnacentral:misc_RNA from 1 species